GCUGUUGUAGCUCAGUUGGUAGAGCACGUCCUUGGUAAGGACGAGGUCAUGAGUUCGAGUCUCAUCAACAGCU
rnacentral:tRNA from 1 species